CCACCACAACGGAGGCCUGAACAGUGUCAUCUGGGACAUGUCCCAGGUGCACCUCCCACUCAUUGGCUGCCUUCGCCCUCCCUGGUGGAGCAUUACCAAGGAGGACUAGUUCCACAAAUAUUUUUCUUAACAGUUCUUUGGGGCUAUAGGAAACUUAACUUCCCCCAUCCUGCUAGUCAGCCACAACAUGUUAUUGUCACUGUUUGCAAAGUGCUGUUUAAUCUUUGUUGUUGAAUCAUUUUUAACAUCCCCACCUGGAAGGCAAGUGCUCAUUUCUCCUUCUCAUGUGUGUCGUUAACUUACUUACCCUAAAUCACCCAUGCGGACUCCACCCAUGACCAGCCCCAUCCUAUCCCAGCCUAAUCCUUAGGCAACCGAGGCAGAGAAAACUCUAUGGCGAAGUCAACAGAAGGGUAUUAAUUCUAAUUAAUUCUAAUUACCCAAUACACCUUUGUGGAGCAUUGCGAUAGGGACCAUAGCGUAUUGACUAAAACUCCAUAGUCCUGUAGUCAAGGAACUACAGUUAUAGGAUCAAGAGGUACGGAAUUAAGGCCUGAACAGAAAGAAGACUGAGGCUGCAGCAAGUGCGCCAUGAAUCCGCCAUAUUCUGUAGAAGCCCCACGCCUGUUGAUUUGGUGUUUAUGAUACAUUCAAUGAUUUAACAAAUAUCAGCUGUGUCAGGUGCCAGGCAUUGCCCCAAGCACAGGAGACGCUGGGAUGCAUAAGAUGCCCGGUGCCAAGUCUUUAAACUCACACCUUCUGUGACUCAGUGACUCCUCUAUCGUGCCUUCCCCUGCUCCUGCAGAAGUGAAUUGAGGGGUAGGUCAGCUGGACAGCUGCCCAGGGUACUAAGCCCCAACAAGCUUAGAAACACUAACAGAAGAAGUUGGGAAAAUAUACACUUGCCCUUCUCUGAUGGAAAAAUAUGCCACUGUAGAGAGAAAGAAGCAAAGAUAACACCAGCUGGAGUUGGCUUUGGGGCUGUUACUUCUUUCCCAUGAUCAGUCAUGCAUUUUUGUGGUAUUGAUCCUUGGCCCAGACCCUGACUGGCUAAAGCCAAUAAUUCUAUCCCAUCGCAUCUCUCUGGCCGCCAUUAUUUGAUCCAUGAUGGCAGAAACCCAGUCAGAACCACUGAAACCUGUGGAGAAGUCUUCUAGGGCUUCUGGGAAAAAGAAAGUUCUCUCCCCUCCUUGAAAGCCACUCCUUCUGUGAUCCGUAUGGUGUGAAGACAUAAAGACCUGAACAGCUUCUUUACUACUAGGUCAGAAGACCACGGAACUGCCAAUGGGAAGCCAUUUGAGGCCUGAAGAAGCAAGUGAUGCUUUGGAAUGCAAAGAGGAAAUAUGGAAAGGAACAAAACUGGUCCUUGAUGAUUCUAGAUCAAACUGUACCUGAAGCUGGUCCUGCCUCUGGCCUUUUCACUGACGCAAGUUUAUACAUCCCGUUAUUCUUCAAGCCAGUUUGAGUUGGAUUCCCUGUCAUUUUCAAUGGAAAGAUUUUUAACUCACCAUUUGCUUUUGUCAAAUUGAUGAUGACAUAUUAAUACCUUUUCAAUGAGUGAUGCUGGGAAAAUGGGGCCAUGCUGUGGGUUUCUGCUUCACUGUUUUCUUUAGUAUGUUGUUUUCAAUUGGAAUGAAUACCUUCUUAAAUCAUUUUCUUAGUGGUCUCCUUGUCCACACUUUACAACACAGAUCAAGUAUCACUUUCCCUAUGAAUUCAUUACUGAGCAAGAAUGAUAAACACUGGAAUUUUAGAUCUGUUGAGACUGUCCCAAGUAAAAGUUGAGUACUUGUUUUAAGUUAGAUAGACAUGAUUUUGAAACCUGACUCUCUAAUUUACUAGCUGUGUGACUUUCGACAAUUUGCCUAAACUCUCUAAGAUACUUCUCCCAACCUGUAAAAAUCCUGUUAAUAAUAGCAUCUUAUCCCAGACAACUUUUGUGAAGAUAAAAUGAAAUAGUUCAUGUACAACAAUUACCAAGGUGCUUGACACAGAAUAAAUGCUCAAUAAAUGUUGAUGCUGUUGUUAGUGUUAACAACUUAUCAAGGAACCUACCAUCUAGAAAGAGUCCAAUAAAUCUAAUCUGCAGUUGUUAGUACGAUAAAUAUCUGCUAUCUGAGUAAUUUAAAAAGUCAUGAAUAAUGUUUGAAUGAAUAUGAGUUAAUUAAAAUAUAAUUCAAUGAAAAAAUGAAUGAAUGAAUGAAUGGCAGCUGGAAACUGAGAGGCAGGGACACAAGUAGAGGGGCUGGGCCAGAGGAUACGAAGGAGGAAGAAAGAACUGAAAGAUACCCUGUGCUUGAUGAGAAUGCCCUUCCCAUGAUCUGUGUCCCCGUCAGGUGGAAUGUUCUGCAGUGCCGCUCCCUUCAUCCUCUCAUCACUGCGGGUCAUCUGUCGGAAGCUUCUUGAUGGGCAGCUUUACAGACAGCCAUAAAGCGGCAUUUAUGGCCAAAGCCAUCAUAUUUCGUUGAGCUCUGUGCUUAGGGUGUCUACACUAUUUUCUCUCUUUUCUCUGGGUCCUAGUCACUCUGCAAAGAAGAAAUUUAGCAGAGAUGGCUGAAUUCCUUCUCAUGGUUCUGCAUAGCCUCUGAGAUAAAAUGCAAGAAACCUCAAGAACCAGAAGGCCAUUAAGAAUAAAUAGGAUAAUGUGGACGUUUAC
ensembl:lncRNA